CUUUACUGUAACUUGAAAUUGAAAUUGGACUUUAUUUGCGCAGGAUAGGUGGGAGGCGUUGAGAAUAUUCUUGUGGGAAUAUUGGAGCCAUCAGUGAGAUACCACUCUUGUAAUGUUAGAUUUCUAACUUUGUAUCAUUAUCUGGUCAAAGAACAGUUUCAGGCGGGCAGUUUGACUGGGGCGGUCGCCUCCUAAACGGUAACGGAGGCGCACAAAGGUUUCCUCUGAACGGGUAGAAAUCGUAUCUAGAGUGUAAAGGCAUAAGGAAGCUUGACUGUGAGACCUACAAGUCGAGCAGGGACGAAAGUCGGUCUUAGUGAUCUGACGGUGCUGAGUGGAAAGGCCGUCACUCAACGGAUAAAAGUUA
rnacentral:rRNA from 1 species